AGGAUGAACGCUGGCGGCGUGCUUAAUACAUGCAAGUCGAGCGGUAAGGCCCCUUCGGGGGUACACGAGCGGCGGACGGCUGAGUAACGCGUGGGAACGUACCCCAAAGUGAGGGAUAAGCACCAGAAAUGGUGUCUAAUACCGCAUGUGCUCUAAGGAGUAAAGCUCCGGCGCUUUGGGAACGGCCUGCGUUCGAUUAGCUUGUUGGUGAGGUAAUGGCUCACCAAGGCGACGAUCGAUAGCUGGUCUGAGAGGAUGAUCAGUCAGACUGGAACUGAGACACGGUCCAGACUCCUACGGGAGGCAGCAGUGAGGAAUCUUCCACAAUGGGCGAAAGCCUGAUGGAGCGACGCCGCGUGCAGGAUGAAGGCCUUCGGGUUGUAAACUGCUUUAUAAGUGAAGAAUAUGACGGUAACUUAUGAAUAAGCACCGGCUAACUACGUGCCAGCAGCCAC
rnacentral:rRNA from 1 species